GAUGAACGCUGGCGGCGUGCCUAAUACAUGCAAGUCGAGCGAACGGACGAGAAGCUUGCUUCUCUGAUGUUAGCGGCGGACGGGUGAGUAACACGUGGAUAACCUACCUAUAAGACUGGGAUAACUUCGGGAAACCGGAGCUAAUACCGGAUAAUAUUUUGAACCGCAUGGUUCAAAAGUGAAAGACGGUCUUGCUGUCACUUAUAGAUGGAUCCGCGCUGCAUUAGCUAGUUGGUAAGGUAACGGCUUACCAAGGCAACGAUGCAUAGCCGACCUGAGAGGGGGUUCGCCCAACUGGAAAUUGAGAAACGGCCCAGACCCUUACGGAAGGCAGCAGAAGGAAUCCUCCGGAAAGGGGCGAAAGCCUGACGAAGAAACGCGGCGUGAGUGAGGAAGGUCUUCGGAUGGUAAAACCCUGUUAUUAGGAAAGAAAAUAUGGGUAAGUAACUGGGCACAUCUUGACGGAACCUAACCAGAAAGCACCGGUAAAUUCCUG
rnacentral:rRNA from 1 species